rnacentral:rRNA from 1 species
CCUACGGGAGACUGCAGUAGGGAAUCUUCCACAAUGGGCGAAAGCCUGAUGGAGCAACGCCGCGUGGGUGAAGAAGGUCUUCGGAUCGUAAAACCCUGUUGUUAGAGAAGAAAGUGCGGGAGAGUAACUGUUCACGUUUCGACGGUAUCUAACCAGACAGACACGGCUAACUACGUGCCAGCAGCCGCGGUAAUACGUGGGUUGCAAGCGUUAUCCGGAUUUAUUGGGCGUAAAGGGAACGCAGGCGGUCUUUUAAGUCUGAUGUGAAAGCCUUCGGCUUAACCGGAGUAGUGCAUUGGAAACUGGGAGACUUGAGUGCAGAAGAGGAGAGUGGAACGCCAUGUGUAGCGGUUAAAUGCGUAGAUAUAUGGAAGAACACCAGUGGCGAAAGCGGCUCUCUGGGCUGUAACUGACGCUGAGGUUCGAAAGCGUGGGUAGCAAACAGGAUUAGAUACCCGGGUAGUC